rnacentral:rRNA from 1 species
UUCGCAAUGCCCGAAAGGGUGACGAAGCGACGCCGCGUGGGUGAGGAAGGCCCUCGGGUUGUAAAGCCCUGUCAGGAGUUAAGAAAUGUAAGUGCGCUAAUAUCGCAUUUAUUUGACGAAGGCUCCAAAGGAAGCCACGGCUAACUCUGUGCCAGCAGCCGCGGUAAUACAGAGGUGGCAAGCGUUGUUCGGAAUUAUUGGGCGUAAAGAGCACGUAGGUGGGUCUGUAAGUCAGAUGUGAAAGCCUUCUGUUCAACGGAAGAAUUGCAUCUGAAACUGCAGGUCUUGAGUGUAGGAGGGGAGAAUGGAACUUCUGGUGGAGCGGUGAAAUGCGUAGAUAUCAGAAGGAACGCCGGCGGCGAAAGCGAUUCUCUGGCCUAUUACUGACACUCAGUGUGCGAAAGCUAGGGGAGCAAACGGGAUUAGAUACCCCGGUAGUCCUAGCUGUAAACGAUGGGCACUAAGUAGAGGGGUUUU